AUCGCUUCUCGGCCUUUUGGCUAAGAUCAAGUGUAGGAGUGAUGAUAGUGGGCAUUCUUGUCUUGUUCCUGAUUUUAGAGUCAAAGCUUUCAGUUUUUGAUCAUUUAGUACAAUGUUGACUGUUGGUUUGUCAUAGAUGCCUUUUAUCAGAUUGCAAUAAAGAUGAUCUAUUCCAAUU
rnacentral:snRNA from 1 species